UGACAGGUGGUGCAUGGUUGUCGUCAGCUCGUGUCGUGAGAUAUUGGGUUAAGUCCCCGCAACGAGCGCAACCCUCGCCUCUAGUUGCCAGCAUUCGGUUGGGCACUCUAGAGGGACUGCCGGCGACAAGUCGGAGGAAGGUGGGGAUGACGUCAAAUCAUCAUGCCCCUUAUGUCCUGGGCUACACACGUACUACAAUGGCCGGUACAAAGGGCGGCGAAGGGGUGACCCGGAGCAAAUCCCAGCAAAACCGGUCUCAGUUCGGAUUGUAGUCUGCAACUCGACUACAUGAAGUCGGAAUCGCUAGUAAUCGCAGGUCAGCAUACUGCGGUCGAAUACGUUCCCGGGCCUU
rnacentral:rRNA from 1 species